rnacentral:rRNA from 1 species
GUAAUACUUUCGGUGCAAGYGUUAAUCGCAAUUCUGGGCGUGUAAGCGUGCUGCAKGYGGUUAUAUAACACAGAUGUGAAAUUCCCGGGCUCWACCUGGGAACUGCAUUUUGGGACUGUAUA